GAUGAACGCUGGCGGCGUGCUUAACACAUGCAAGUCGAACGAUGAAGCCCAGCUUGCUGGGUGGUUUAGUGGCGAACGGGUGAGUAACACGUGAGUAACCUGCCCUUAACUCUGGGAUAAGCCUGGGAAACUGGGUCUAAUACCGGAUAGGAGCGCCUACCGCAUGGUGGGUGUUGGAAAGAUUUAUCGGUUUUGGAUGGACUCGCGGCCUAUCAGCUUGUUGGUGGAGUAAUGGCUCACGAAGGCAACGACGGGUAGCCGGCCUGAGAGGGUGAACGGGCACACUGGGACUGAGAGACGGACCAGACUCCUACGGGAGGCAGUAGUGGGGAAUAUUGCACAAUGGGCGAGAGUCUGAUGCAGCGACGCCGCGUGAGGGAUGACGGCCUUCGGGGUGUAAACCGCUUUAAGUAGGGAAGAAGCGAAAGUGACGGUACCUGAAGAAGAAGCACCGGCUAACUACGUG
rnacentral:rRNA from 1 species